UAAUACAUUGUUCACCAGAAGGUCCCUUAGAACAGUGGGUUGGUGGGGGCCACCAUCUCAGCUGCCCUCCUCUCCCGUGCAUCCAGCGAGGGUCUGAUGGGUCUGACAAGCCCGCAGGCCUGGCUUCUGUCCUCUGGGUUUGAUAGGUCCCCACAUUCCUGGGCCUCUGAUUUGACUGGAUGAGUUUGCAGGUGGCAUUUUUGGGGGGCAGCUCAUGGCAAAACGCCGCUUUACAAUUUGGUGCAACUCAGGACGAGGCACGGCCUGAAACUGCCGUUCUGUCCAACGCCGAGUAACUCAGAGGAGGGUGCAGCCUGCUAUGCAAUGACAGCACCCGGUCCCAAGUCCCUGACACGCAGUGCUCAGGCUGCUCGGAUCAGGCACAAUCACGCUGUUUAAGACCCGUGCCCUCCAAAAUAAAAUACAACACUGUGCCAUUAAA